CAAAAAAAGUAUUUUCUGGGAUCUGCCAUACUGGGAGGAUCAUCUGGAAUGGCUUGUGCAGCCUCAUCUUCUCCUUCUUCAUCAACAACGUUUUGCGGUUUGAAUAACACCAAUAUAACCCUUAUUAAGUGUCUUACGUUCAUUAUGAAGUCAAUUAUUUGUUCCUUACCGUAUAAUUAACACUUUUCCGAUUGUAUGAACGAAAUCCCACAACAUAAGAGAAACACUUAUACCUUUUAAAGAACGGUAAAGGGAAUACUUUCAAUUAGUUUUGAAAUUUGUUAU
rnacentral:lncRNA from 1 species